rnacentral:rRNA from 1 species
ACAACGAAGAGUUUGAUCCUGGCUCAGGAUGAACGCUAGCGGCAGGCUUAACACAUGCAAGUCGAGGGGUAACAGGGGAGCUUGCUCUCGCUGACGACCGGCGCACGGGUGAGUAACGCGUAUGCAACCUACCCAUAACUGGGGCAUAGCUUCCGGAAACGGAAAUUAAUACCCCAUAGUAUUAUAAUAUCGCAUGAUAUAAUAAUUAAAGUUCCGACGGUUAUGGAUGGGCAUGCGUGCCAUUAGCUAGUUGGUGAGGUAACGGCUCACCAAGGCUAUGAUGGCUAGGGGGUCUUAAAGGAUGGUCCCCCACACUGGUACUGAGACACGGACCAGACUCCUACGGGAGGCAGCAGUGAGGAAUAUUGGUCAAUGGGCG